GAGGACACACAGGGACUUAGCUCUGCACUGCCAGACUCCAGGACGGCUCACAGGCACAUUAAGAGUUGGAUAAAUGCUGAAGGAAUCACCGUCAAUGUAAGCACUAAGCCUUGGGCUGGGGACUUGAUAGGCAUCUGUUCAUUUGCUCUGAUCUGGGUGAUGAGAAUAUGGUGAACAAAAGAGGUCCUGCUGUCAGGGGUCUCCCCUUCUGGGCAGCCUGAGAGGUGAUGCACAGACAAGCAUGCUGCCUGGUGUCCAGACCGGUGACAACUGCUCUGAAGAGUUAAAGGACAUCCUGGGAAGUGCUGUUUCUCAGAGGCUGGUCUUCAAAGUCUUCACCCAGGGAGAACAUUCGAGCACAAAAUCCUGAAUGAAGUGGGAGGUAAGAAAUGAUUGAAAAGAAAUGACCCAUGGGAUUAGAGAGAUGUCUCAGUGGUUAAAAGCACUGGCUGUUCUUGCAGAAGACCAAGGCUCAGUUCCCAGCACCCACAUGGCAGCUUUAUAACCACUGUUCCAAGGACUCUGACAUCCUCUUUAGGCCCUGUGGGCACUGUGUACAUGUGGUGCAUGUACAUUCAUUCAGGCAAAACAUUCACACAUACUAAAUAAAAAUAAUAAAUUUUUUUCAAGAAGAAA